rnacentral:ncRNA from 14 species
UUAACUUUGCACCGCAAUGGUUCACAAAGGGCCGGGCAAGGCCCCGUGUGAUUAAAUGGGAAUGCCGUGAAAUUCGGCAGCAGUUCCCGCUGCUGUAAGUUCCGUCUAUUGUCGCACACUCUUUAGCCACUGGCUCCGGCCGGGAAGGCGUUGCGGCUGGAACGAGCCAGAAGACCUGCCUUGCAUCUCCCGGUGGGA